UAUGCUUCUCGAACCACUGUGCUCCCCGAAGUUGUGUGUUACAGAAACGUUACGUUUCGGUUGUGUUACAGAAGAAGGACGUUGCGGCAACGUUACCCUUGCUCCUCCUCGGCGGCAGGACCCUGUUGCGCGAUGCAGAACACGUCCGUGGUCGACAUGGUGGCCCGCCAGUCAGCACUGUGCGCACACGAUCACAUAUCGACGUCCUCGUCGGCGACGUUCCUCCAGGUACGAGAAUUCUUCGUUGUCGACGCGGAUUCGGUAGGUCCACGUGCGAACGCCAGCGGAAUUUCGUGCACUAGUCACAUACGUGGCUGCGUCGGCUGGCGCCCGUCAAGGCUACCGCCGACUGAUGUAUGCAGGAUCAGGCAGACCGGUAGCGCAACAGGUUGUCCGUCCACGGAUUUUCCACGAGUCGAACGGAAAACGGCGAAGAGCGACGCACGGCUGCGACCGACUCACUGCGGUCUCGUGUGGUAUCACGCCGCACCUUCGCCGCCGUUCCCUCUACCUGUGCACGCACACCGUUUUCCAUUUACCUGUCUUCAGUCGCGUGCGUGUACAGGCAAAUCUCUUUGUGUGCGUACACCGGUCGUCGACGAGACGCGCGUUCCUUCUACCUGGCCCCCUUACGCACGCCGCCAACUUCUGUGCAGAUAUCGAGGAUCAUAUAGCGUGCCGGCAUUUCACGGGUGUGCGUUAUUUCUGUUUCUGCGACCGUACGCACGCACCGCGCUUAUGCCCCCCAAUGAUUUGUUCCCAGCUAUUAUUGUUACGUUACGUUCUACGUUAAUGGCAAAACCAUCAAGGAGAAUGAGUGUGUACGAGACGAUCGUCUUGCGGAGGUAUUUUGUUGUUCCCUUGUUCGGUGAAUCUUGGAGCUUGAUGUUUGGCCCGUGAAUAGUGGAUGUUUCGCUACUGCAGAGUCCGCAGUGACUCCACAUCCGUUUGUGUUUAUAAUGAAUAGUUACAAAAGUAUUGGUAUCCGCGAGAUCCAUGACGUGUUCACGAGACAAUUUCAGCGUAUUGUUUAUCGAAAAAGACGCCAUACUCGUAAUAGCUGUCUGCUCCAGUCUUACGUUGCAAGUCUGUGGUAAUAUCAGUAAGGUGGAGAGCUUCAAUGACGUUCAAUGUACGUCAGAUAUCUUUUAUUGUGCUUUCGAAGCUCCGGGUUGUAGCUGGUUUCUUUGUAUUGUAAUUCUUGUUUAUCAAAAACUGUCUCAGAAUGCUCUCAUCAUCAAAAACUCGGAAUGCUGUCUGGCGAGUUGUGUCAUAAAAUGAAAGGUUUCGCUGCAACUGUACUUCUGCAUAAUUAGUCUAUUUAAAUAUAUUAAUCAUAUCGUUGUAUGGUGUAGUGUUUCGCUUUCAGGGCUACUACUUAUGACCAAUUAAGCUAUCCGGGUCGCCGACGAUUUUCUCUCUCUAAAUCCGUAGAACCUAAACGUAAACACACCAUAUACCUAAAAGUCGGCUCGAUGUAUCGCAUACGUCGACUUAUUCAAAAUAAUUAUCGAGAAUAUGUUAACGAGAAACGAUUUUAACGAUUUUCAUUUACUGAAAUUUUUCCCUAAUAAACCCUAACGUCAAUGGACUCCAAUUUGAAUGGAUCACCAAGAAUAUAUGAUGCGUUUGUAACGUUAGGCGGCAAAUCUAUGCUCUAGCUAGAGCCCUGCUACUCACGAUCGAAGUUCAGAUUGGACUGUUCAGUAUAAUAUAGAACUGUCUCAACAGGUUCUUCGCAGUUCUGUAUGGUUCAAUGCGUAACGUUAACGCGCAGCAAGACCGUGUUGCACGACACACGACACGUGGCUCUCGCGUACUCUCGUUAACUCAGGUAGAUACAGUGCACCUUUUAUUUGCAUAUCGUCCUGUACACCGAGGACUUUUACGAAGAUAAAACACUGACUUUUUUCUUAAAUCAAUCUCUCGCGUGUGUACUUUACUAUCUCUUUAAGAUGAUUUAAAUAAAAUAUAAGAGUUAUUAUGAUUUUGUGUAAUAAAACUUCCCAUGUUAAA